rnacentral:lncRNA from 1 species
AAUUUAGUGUGGAGAUAGCAAUUUUGGUGAGUCCAUAGGUAUGAUGGUGGGUUUGAUGCUACAUAGGUGAUGGAAGCUUAGCCUUGGGGCACAAUGAUAUCCUGUCUUGACUUGUGUUUUGUUAGCUAGUUUGACAUCCCUUAUGGAAAAGCAAUUCAUAGGAAAGGUUUGAUAUGAAGAGGAGGAAAGACCAAAGUAUUUCUCUUUUCUCGAUCUCUUCGAUUUCCCUUUUCUCCUGCUAGGGUUUCCAAAACUUAGGAGCUCCGAAGACUCCAGAAAGAUGUCUUCUCAACAGCAGCAGUGCAAGCAGCCCUGCCAGCCCCCUCCUGUGUGCCCACCUAAGUGCCCAGAGCCGUGCCCGCCCCCAAAAUGCCCUGAGCCGUGCCCACCCCCACAGAGGCAGCAGAAAUGCCCUCCUGUGCAACCUCCUCCACCAUGCCAGCAGAAGUGCCCGCCCAAGAGCAAGUAACAGCUUCAGCAGCAUCAGGAUCUGGAAAAGAGAAGGACCAUUGGCUCGCCUGCUUCCACAGCUCCACCUUCACCUUCUCUUCCGAGCCUAUCAUGGUGGCAGAAGCGGCUCCUCCACCCUUCAGCCUGGAAAAUGCCUGUGUGACCCCUGACAGCAAAAGGGUUCCUUCCUGAGGCUGUCACACUGCUCCUCUCCGGGAGGGAGCUGAGGAAGGGCAUCCUCAGCUGUGCCAGCAUCCCAGAGCUUCAGGAGGAAGAGCAGCAGCUCUCUUCCUGGGUGCCAGCAGGGGAGGCUCUUGAUGUCUUCUGUGUCUGUCUGUCCCCUGGGCAGGGGUUUGUAUCACCUGGCAAUUGUUCCUUUUCUUCCAUUUCCUGAAUAAAGUGCCAUUUUGUGGGAUGGG